rnacentral:rRNA from 1 species
UACGAAGGGGGCGAGCGUUGUUCGGAAUUACUGGGCGUAAAGGGCGCGCAGGCGGCUCUGAAAGUCAGAUGUGAAAGCCCCGGGCUUAACCUGGGAAUUGCAUUUGAUACUCUGGAGCUUGAGUACGGGAGAGGAGAGUGGAAUUCCCAGUGUAGAGGUGAAAUUCGUAGAUAUUGGGAAGAACACCGGUGGCGAAGGCGGCGAGCUGGUCCAUUACUGACGCUGAGGCGCGACAGCGUGGGGAGCAAACAGG